rnacentral:ncRNA from 1 species
CGGCCUUUUUAUUAGUUGACUGCAGAAUUAUACAUGCAAGACUCCCCACCCCAGUGAGAAUGCCCUUUAAACCACAAAGACUAAAAGGAGCAGGCAUCAAGCACACUAAUUAGUAGCUCACAACGCCUUGCUUUGCCACACCCCCACGGGAAACAGCAGUAAUAAAAAUUAAGCAAUGAACGAAAGUUUGACUAAGUCAUGCACUAACAGGGUUGGUAAAUUUCGUGCCAGCCACCGCGGUCAUACGAUUAACCCAAACUAAUAAAGCUCGGCGUAAAGAGUGUUUUAGAAAUCCAUAAAAUAAGACUAAAACUUAUCUAAGUCGUAAAAAACAUCAGAUAAAAUAUACACUAAAACGAAAGUAAUCUUAUUAGAUCUGAACACACGAAAGCUAGGACCCAAACUGGGAUUAGAUACCCCACUAUGCCUAGCCAUAAACAUAAAAAUUUCACAACAAAAAUUCUCGCCUGAGAACUACUAGCCACAGCUUAAAACUCAAAGGACUUGGCGGUGCUUUAUAUCCACCUAGAGGAGCCUGUUCUAUAAUCGAUAAACCCCGAUAUACCUCACCACUUCUUGCUAAUUCAGCCUAUAUACCGCCAUCUUCAGCAAACCCUAUUAUGGAGCAACAGUAAGCCUAAUUAUACACCAUAAAAACGUUAGGUCAAGGUGUAGCCCAUGAAGUGGGAAGAAAUGGGCUACAUUUUCUUACCAAAGAACAUUUACGCUAACCCCUGUGAAAACCAGAGGUCUAAGGAGGAUUUAGUAGUAAAUUAAGAGUAGAGAGCUUAAUUGAACUAGGCCAUGAAGCACGUACACACCGCCCGUCACCCUCCUCAAGUGCCCAAAUUCACAAAGAACAACAACACAAGAGGAGAUAAGUCGUAACAAGGUAAGUAUACUGGAAAGUGUACUUGGA